UCAGGAGUUUAUCCACUUCCUCGGCUAUCGCUUUCUGCCUCUCUGGUGCAUGACCUCGAAUUUUCUCUUUCAUCGAUCGAUGCUUGGGAUCGACGGCCAGGUGGUGCUCCAUGACCUCCAUGUCAAUCCCCGACAUGUCUGCUGGAACCCAAGCGAAAAUGUCCGCAUUCUUUCAUAGAAAAUCGAUGAGAUGCGUCCGCACCUCUUCCCCUAGGUUGGAGCCGAUCUUCACCACAUGCUCCGCAUUUCCGUCGUUCAAAGGGAUCG
rnacentral:lncRNA from 1 species